UACGUAGGGCGCAAGCGUUAUCCGGAAUUAUUGGGCGUAAAGAGCUCGUAGGCGGUUUGUCGCGUCUGCCGUGAAAGUCCGGGGCUCAACUCCGGAUCUGCGGUGGGUACGGGCAGACUAGAGUGAUGUAGGGGAGACUGGAAUUCCUGGUGUAGCGGUGAAAUGCGCAGACUAUCAGGAGGAACACCGAUGGCGAAGGCAGGUCUCUGGGCAUUAACUGACGCUGAGGAGCGAAAGCGUGGGGAGCGAACAGG
rnacentral:rRNA from 1 species